rnacentral:lncRNA from 1 species
AGCCAGGAUAAGGUCACUGCAGGCGGAGGCUUGGAAACCACUACGUUUCUGAGUCGGAGAGAUUUACGCUGUUUGAAUCUUGCACUCAGGAUGAGCAAAGAAAUCAAGAUGUUAACGGUAAAGUCUAUUCUGUCUCAGAUUCAACCGAAGAGUUGGUUUGUCAUGAUCGAUCUGAAGGAUGCAUAUUUUCAUAUUCAGAUCAUCAAGAGACACAGGAAGUUCCUCAGAUUCGCUUUAGAGGGCAAAGCGUAUCAGUACUGUGUUCUUCCCUUCGGCUUAGCCUUGGCUCAUCGAGUAUUUUCGAAAUGCAUGGACGCAGUUCUGGCCCCAUUGUGGCUCCAGGGCGUUCGCGUAUUGAAUUACCUGAAUGAUUGGCUGGUGUUAGCACAAUCGCAGACUCAAGCACACUCCCAUCGGGAUCUUGUGCUGAAUCAUCUAAACAGCCUGGGCUUAUGCACAAAUUUCCAGAAGUGUGUUUUUAAUUCCCUCUCAGCGGAUAACCUUCUAGAAAUAGACUUGGACUCUCGCGCGAUGACAACAAGACUAUCUCUCCCACGCGUUCAGUCUCUCACAUUAUGCCUGCACCAUUUCAUAGCAGGUCGCACAGUGACGGUGAGUUUGUGCCUCAGACUUUGGGUCUAUGAUAGCAGCAUCCCCUGUAAUCCGUCUGGGCUUGCUUCACAUGCGCCCAUUUUCAGUGGUGGACGAAAAGCCAAAACAUUUCACCCCGUUGUUUUCCGCAUUGUACGAUUUCGGUGACACAGAGGUGUGUUAUGUCAAUAAAACCAUGGAUGUCAGCUAAAUUCCUUCAACUGGAGUUCAGCUGGGGAUUCGUGCUUCCCGCGAGAGUGGCACGACGGACGUCGUAUAACUUCGGCGUGGCCUCUGAGCGGAGUGAGUUAAUAUGUCCCGGUUUUUCAGUUGGAACCACCGAGACUAUAAUGAAUUCUAGGGCAGUUUCUACGAGACGCUUUAUGCUUUCAAAUGGAAACUGUUUACUGCCUGAUGUGGAAUUCAUAAUUUAGAUCCAGUUUACUGCCCCGUGGCUUCAGUACUGGAGUUUCUUCAAGACUGUUUUUCUGAUGAAGUAACACCAGCCACUCUUGAAAUUUACGUGGCAGCAAUUUCAGCUAACCACGUAUACAUAGAUGGUACUUCAGUGGGCCAUCAUCCGCUGGUCUCUUGCUUAUACAGGGUUUGCGACGGCUAAGGCCUUUCACGCCCUGCACGAGGUUCCUUCAUGAAAUUCUUCAUUGUGUUGCAAGGUCUAUCAGAACAUCCGUUUGAGCCCUUGGAAAUUAUAAAAAAUAAAUAAAUCCUACUUUAAAGACAGUUCUUCUUGUGGCUUUAUCCUCCCUCAUGAGAGUUGGGGAUUUGCAGGUUCUUCUGUUUGGCCCUCGUGCAUGGACUUUUCACCAGGGUUUGUGAAAGUACUGCUGCGACCGAGGCCUAAUUAUGUCCCUAAGGUCGCCUCGAACCCCUUUCACUUUUAACAAGUGGUCUUGGAAGCUUUACUCCCUGCUGAGGCGGGGCUAGGAGAUCUGAGUCUUUGCCCUGUCAGAGUGCUGAAGACUUAUGUUGAUCGAACAGCUCCAUGGCGUGAGUCUGACCAGCUGUUGUCUGUUAGGACACAAAAUAGAGGCUGUGCUGUCACAAAGCAGUGCAUGUCCCAUUGGUUGGUGGAGACGAUAUCUUUAGCCUAUGAGGCGCGCGGACUCGCUUCGCCCUUAGGAUUAGAGCUCAUUCCACGAGAGCAGUGGUUUCAUCGGGAUCUUCUAUAUAUGAUGUCUGUGCUGCAGCAGGAUGGUCCUCUCCGAGCACUUUUGUCAAGUUUUACAGUCUUGAUGUGAGGAUGGCUCCUGGCUCCCGGGUUCUAUCCACUUGAGCAGAUGCUUUCCUUGGAUCCCAACUAUCAGGUAUGUCAGGCGUUAUGGUAUAGGGUUCCCAUACGGUGACGUCACCGCAGCAUCGAAGUCGACCUAUGGAAACGGACAUCUCGGUUACGUAUGUAACCACGGUUCCCGUGAAUAGGGAACGAGAUGCUGCGGUCCGGCUGUCCGUACCUUGAUGCAUUAUUUCUUCCGUUCAUGAAAUCUGAGCGAAAGAAAUAGCGCGCGGCACUCAGGUAUACUAUGCGUACGCAUGCGUAAGGCGGUGCCAAGCGCUAUUUGGCCAAUAAAAUUGGCGGGAUGGUAUAGGGCUUCAGACAUUCGUCACACCGAAAGGUGUUCCCAUACGGUGACGUCACCGCAGCAUCUCGUUCCCUAUUCAGGGAACCGUGGUUACAUACGUAACCGAGAUGAUAGCGCCUCCUACUAUACACCAGUGAAAACAAAGCCGGAAAAUUCCGUUAAUGGCGGCGAACGAUUUAAAAUAGUGGAAUAGUAAAGAAAUAUUUCGCAUUGAAAUCUCAACCUCAGGAAAUAGCAUCAGCAAACUGUAUGUAACUGUAUCAAAUGUCUAAGGCUGUGUACAGUACAACAGAACAUUACUCAAAACGAUUUUUUCAACUAUAAUAAUGAUGAAUGAGUUUUGCAUGAAUUGAUAUUGUCCUCCUCUCAGAGAUCCCAGGUAGGUGCCAUUUGAAAUUAAGCCUUUGAAAUUUGCUUUUAUAAAAUAAAAUAAACAAACAGAUUUUUGUAUUGUUUAUUCAAAGCAGAUGUUUUGGGAGUGACUUUGGAACAAGGUUAAUAGAUUUUGAUCAAAGCAGUGGGCAAAAGUUCAUAUCUCCCCUGCAAAAUGACUGGUUUGCAAUCUUUGAAUUAUAUCCAUUGGUAACAAAAGAGAGAGAGUGAAGUCCCAUCAGACUACUGUAUAUCAGUGCAGUUGGCAGCUUUACUCCCAGCAAUCCCCAAGCAAUUGACUUCACCGUGGACAGAAAACAGCCUUUAUAACCUCAAACUGA